AGCGAACGUUAGCGGCGGGCCUAACACAUGCAAGUCGAACGCGAAAGGUCUUCGGGACUGAGUAGAGUGGCGCACGGGUGAGUAACACGUAGGUAAUCUACCCGUUUGGCGGGGGAUAAACGUUCCGAAAGGAGCGCUAAUACCGCAUAAGACCACGUGGUCUCCGGACCGAGUGGGAAAAGGUGGCCUCUUCUUGAAAGCUACCACCGAAGGAUGAGCCUGCGUCCCAUCAGCUAGUUGGUAAGGUAAUGGCUUACCAAGGCGAAGACGGGUAGCUGGUUUGAGAGAAUGAUCAGCCACACUGGCACUGGAACACGGGGCCAGACUCCUACGGGAGGCCAGCAGUGAGGAAUAUUGGGCAAUGGGCGAAAGCCUGACCCAGCCACGCCGCGUGAGUGAUGAAGGCCCUCGGGUCGUAAAGCUCUGUGGAGAGGGACGAAAACCCUGGUUUCAAAUAGGCUCCAGGCUUGACGGUACUCUUUAGCAAGCACCGGCUAACUCUGUGCCAGCAGCCGACGG
rnacentral:rRNA from 1 species